UGAGCACAGAGAGGAUUUAAUAGGAAGGGAAACACAAACCCCGCAGGGAGCUCAGGGCGGGCAGCCGGCGCUCCUCGAGGCCAGGCCGAGGGCCGCUGGAAGGGGCUGCCAUCACCCACCCUAGGCCGGGGUGUCCCUGUUUGGCUCUGUAAUAAAACAGAAUGGCUCUGAUCUCAGCGAUUAAAGCUUUAAAACUGCAAGCUUCAGGGAGGGAGUAGGUCCAGAGGAUCAGCCUGCCAGCCACCCCUUUCACUCUUCUCCAGGCUUGGAGCUGCUGGCAGAGCCCAGUCUGGCUCCAAAACCAUUCCAGGGACCUCCUGGGAAUCUCCAGCCGGGCCUCAGCCAGAGCAGCAUCCACCAGUGCCCUGACUUGCAAGGUGCCGGAAAACACCUCAGCUGCUGCUAAAUUAGGGGCAAGAAGGAACUAACUGGAAUUUUCCUGACAGGAGCCGUCCGCAUCCUGAAGCAUUCAUACUUCUCCCUGACUUCUCUUCAGCCUCUGCCUGUUGCCUGACACCACAGCAGAGCAGAUUGAGG